CACCCAUCCGUCCAUCCACCCAUGACUAACCCAUCUGUAAAUCCACCCAUCACUCACCCAUCUGUACAUCCACCCAUCUACCCAUCCAUCUGUCCAUGCACCCAUGACUCACCCAUCUGUCUACCCAGCCAUCACUCACCACUUGGUCCAUCCAUCCAUCACUCACCCAUCCGUCCAUCCACCCACUACUCACCCAUCCUUCCAUCCACCCAUCACUCACCCAUCUAUCCAUCCACCCAUCACUCACCACUUGGUCCAUCCACCCAUCACUCACCCAUCCGUCCAUCCACCCAUUACUCACCCAUCUGUUCAUCCACCCAUCACUCACCCAUCCUUCCAUCCACCCAUCUCUCACCAUCUGUCCAUCCACCCAUCACUCACCCAUCCGUCCAUCCACUAUCACUCACCCAUCCUUCCAUCCACCCAUCUCUCACCCAUCCGUCCAUCCACCCGUCACUCACCCAUCCGUCCAUCCACCAUCACUCACCCAUCCUUCCAUCCACCCAUCACUCAUCCGUCUAUCCACCCAUCACUCACCCCUCAGUCCAUCCUCUCAUCACUCACCCUGUCCAUCCAUCCAUCACUCACCCAUCUGUCCAUCCACCCAUCUACCCAUCCAUCCAUCC
rnacentral:lncRNA from 1 species